rnacentral:lncRNA from 1 species
UUUCCGCCGUCUCUCGUCUUGGCAGCACCUCGCUCUCCAGCCGUCUUAUUGUUGGUAGUAGAGUAAGGCCUACCUUGAUUUUGGGACAUUCUCUCUCUCUGCAUUGGAUUUAUCAGCUUAAAUUGUAAUUAUAUUGUAUUAUAGUGUGUUGUUUUGCAUUCUGAUAUCUUAUUUAGUAAAUUAGUUUGUUUCUCCUCAGAUUGUUGCCGCUGUUCUUUGCUCUCAGGGCCAUCUCCCUACCCUUUUCCCCUUUCCCCUUUUCCCGGGACGUGGGCCCUUGGGUCCCCCGUCCCCUUCGUCACAGAAUAGGGCCUAACGCCCGUAAACCGUUGACACUAAGUGACAACUUUUCUGAGAAUCCUUUAAUGUUUCAAAGAACUAUAACAAUGAGAAUUAGUUUUAUGGCUUGUGAAGAGUCCUGAGAGGCAGAAGGUUAUUUUUACCUAACUGAAACAUGCCUAAAUAUAUAAAUUUAAAAACAAAACCUCUCUGUACCCUCUCCCAUUACAUUAUUGUAAUGUGUGGGAAACUAUCUACGUGACAGCGGGCAUGUUUACUUGGACGUGCUGGACUCUUGAGUUGUCCUUGAUGCCUUGAAACAAGUAACUUGCAAGAACAGCAGAAUGCAAAGCACUGGGAAAAGCAGAAACUUUGAAACAGCAAGAGCAUACAGAGACUUGCUUAAGCCAACCAAUCAAAUAACGCUGUGUUGCAGCACACCUUUCACAGAUGCAUAAAAGUCUGAUUGUUCUAUCAAUAAACGAAUCACUUGCCUAACCAUAUUGGUAUUGUCUCGUGAUCUCCGGCGUGCGUGCUGCGACAAGUGGCGCCCGGAACAGGGACCCCAGGAAAGGGGCCUGGAACCGCUGGAAAUAAACGGACGACCACGAUGGUCCUCAAAAUCUGCUGAGAGGCAGCGCGGAGGCGUAGCACCACGAGCCCGGCUGAAGGAGGAGGGGACGCCCCCAGGUCAACCGGGACGAGAAUGGAGCGGAAUUCAGCGGUGAGUCUCCUUCUCGCUAUGCUCUCUAAGAGAGGAGAAUCAAUCUCACAAAAAGACUUAGAGAGAUUAAUAGACUGGGGAAAAGAGCAAGGACGUUUUCAGGAUGGAGCUUUGCUUUUCUCCAUCGAUGAGUGGCGAGCGAUGGGUGACUCCCUAUGGGAGGCUGCUAUCGAAGGUCACAAAAAAGACUAUAAAGUCCUAGGUCGCACCUGGCGGACAGUAAUCAAUGCCUUGCGAUCUAUGAAAGAAGAACGCCAAGUCGCUGAGGCAGCCUUGCAGCUGCUGCACCCUGCUGUCGACACAGCUACCGUAGCACCAGGUGGCUCUCGUCUCUUCGCUCAGCCCCAAGGUUGCCCAAAGGGGUUGGUGGAGAAACUGAAAGAGAGGGUUUCGUACCUGCGGCGGCGAGAAGAGCCACUACCAAUCUGUGAGGAUGUCCCUCACAGGGAUACGGGUUCUGACGAGGAUGAAGGGAGUUCAGCUUUGGCUCCCCCGCUUGCAAUGACUUCUCCUUAUGCUCAUCUGGAGGCUGAAGUGCAGGACUUGAAACGUGUUCUGAAACACCAAUAGCAGAAGUGACAUGUCUGGGACAUGGAUGUGAGUUAAUCAGUGACUGAGAAGAGGUGAUCAUAAUGCUGCAGAUCUGAUCUCUUGAAGUCUUGAAGUGAAGCUGUAAGUAAAGUUGUCCCUCCUUAUCUUACCUUUCACAGUGUAUGUCUAAUUUGAAAAGCCACAAAGACAUUUUGACCAGAC